GUUUCAAGAGAGAUAGUGGGAGUUUAGGGACCAUGACUAUUGUAGUCAAAAGGAGAAGUCAAAUGAAGAAAGCGAAAUAAACUCCAAGGGAACAAACUUUCUUUAUGAAAGGAUGGACAUUGGAAGGGGUAUUUGCAAGAAAUGUCUUGCAAGUGUCAAGAACACACCUUUCGAAGGUGUUGUAAAUUGUUCUUGAAAAGUUCAAAACAAUUAGUUCUUCUACUUGAAUGCUUGAUUCCGUAUUAGUAACUAUGUUUUACAAUCGUUGUAAAAGUGUGGCUAAUAAAAGGUAGAAGAUUAAUGAGAGAAGAGAAAGUACUUCACAUUCGGAACGUGAAUCAAAUGUAGAUCUCUGCGAAAGCAGAUGGUACUUACUUCCUCAUAUGAACUACCAAAGAAAUUGGAAAAACCAAAGAUUGUCUUUACAUUCCAAUUUUAAGGAACUUAAUUCCAUCACUAUAAGGGAUGGAUGAAUGUUUUGUUUGACAAAACAUUGUUCUUUAUUAAUGAAUGAUUAGAUUAUUGUAAUCUAAUUGAUUGUCUCUAUAGUAGAGAUGUUAUGGUAGUUUUAACUGUUUAGAAUAUAACGAUGCUUAAAACCCAAAAGGUUGCAAGGUGGUGACUAAUCCCAACUGAGUUGUGAUACCUCAAAAACAUAAAAUACGAGUUGGUCAUAGAUGGAUGCUUUGGAUCGUUAGAUCCGGAUCCAAUACCUUCUUAUUAAAAUUGUAUAGAGGCAAAAUGUUCGAAUCUUUAUUCUUUUGGAAAGAAGAAAGAAUCACAAAGUUGUUGAGGUUAAUUCACUUAGAUAUUAGUGGCACUUGUCCACAACAUAAUUCUACUCAUGUUGUAUGACAUUCAUCGAAGAUCGCUCUCGAUUGGACUAUAGUUUAUUUUGAAUAAACACAAGUCUGAAUACUUUGCAAAAGGUUUCAAAGAAUUCAAGAAAUGUAAGUUGAUGAGUAAGACGUCUAAAGUAUUUGCCUCCUUAGAUUUGAUCCAAGGAAAGGUAACACUUUAGAACAGUUUCCUUGAAAGAUAUCAAGGAAAGCAUCAUAUGAUAAUGGAUUUCUCCAUUAAGAGAAGAACGAACUCGAAUAAAAUUUAGUUCGUUGGAUGUUAUCAAUUGCCCAUAUAUAGGAUAUAUACUUCUAAGACAAUAUGAUUGUCAAUUAGAAGAUCUUCCAAAGUUUUCAUGACUCCAUAGGAUGUAGUUGAAAAGAAAGACAAAUCUUAAUCAUGUUAAGAUUUGGGGUUGUGUGCUAAUAAGCAAUAUUUGUUUGAGAAUUAUCUUAUGGAUAUCCUUUAAUUAACAUUUGGAUAUCACUUCUAUAAACCAACUAACAAAUGUUGUUUGUUGGGUAGUUCAUUGUAAUCCUACACUAGGAUUUGCCUAAGAUAGAGCAAAUGAACGAGGGAUAGAACUCAAAGAAUGGGUUCUUUGAGAAACAAGAUAGUGAUCAACAAAUAUA
rnacentral:lncRNA from 1 species